AUACGUAGGGAGCGAGCGUUGUCCGGAAUUACUGGGCGUAAAGGGCGCGUAGGCGGCGCUUCAAGUCGUCUGUCAAAUGGGAGGGCUUAACCCUUUUUCGCAGACGAAGCUGGAGAGCUUGAGAAGCAGAGAGGCAAACAGAAUUCCUGGUGUAGCGGUGAAAUGCGUAGAUAUCAGGAAGAAUACCAGUGGCGAAGGCGGUUUGCUGGCUGCAUACUGACGCUGAAGCGCGAAAGCCAGGGGAGCAAACGGGAUUAGAUACCCCGGUAGUCCUGGCAGUAAACGAUGUAUGCUGGGUGUGAGACUAGCGAUAGUUUCGUGCCGAAGUUAACGCGAUAAGCAUACCGCCUGGGGAGUACGGUCGCAAGAUUGAAACUCAAAGGAAUUGACGGGG
rnacentral:rRNA from 1 species